UCCGAGUUGACCCCGGCAGUCUCCUAUGAGUCCCCACCAUGACGUGCUGGCAACAUAGAACGAGGGUUGCGCUCGUUGCGGGACUUAACCCAACAUCUCACGACACGAGCUGACGACAACCAUGCACCACCUGUAAACCGGCCACAAGUGGCCGACACAUCUCUGCGCCGUUCCGGUUCAUGUCAAGCCUUGGUAAGGUUCUUCGCGUUGCAUUGAAUUAAUCCGCAUGCUCCGCCGCUUGUGCGGGCCCCCGUCAAUUCCUUUGAGUUUUAGCCUUGCGGCCGUACUCCCCAGGCGGGUCGCUUAAUGCGUUAGCUACGGCACGGAAUCAACCAACGUGAAUGUCCCCCACACCUAGCGCCCAACGUUUACAGCGUGGACUAC
rnacentral:misc_RNA from 1 species